UUGAGGGGGGCUGCUCCUAGUACGAGAGGACCGGAGUGGACGCAUCACUGGUGUUCGGGUUGUCAUGCCAAUGGCACUGCCCGGUAGCUAAAUGCGGAAGAGAUAAGUGCUGAAAGCAUCUAAGCACGAAACUUGCCCCGAGAUGAGUUCUCCCUGAGACUUUAAGUCUCCUGAAGGAACGUUGAAGACGACGACGUUGAUAGGCCGGGUGUGUAAGCGCAGCGAUGCGUUGAGCUAACCGGUACUAAUGAACCGUGAGGCUUAACCUUAC
rnacentral:rRNA from 1 species